GGUGCCUGGGCCGGGCGGUUAGGUAACGGUCUGCAAAACCGUGUAGGGCGGUUCGAUUCCGCCAGGCACCU
rnacentral:tRNA from 3 species